rnacentral:rRNA from 1 species
GUGGGGAAUAUUCCGCAAUGGACGAAAGUCUGACGGAGCAACGCCGCGUGAGUGAUGAAGGUUUUUGGACUGUAAAGCUCUGUUGUUUAGGACGAAAGUGCCUGUUGCAAAUAGUUACAGGUAUUGACGGUACUGAACGAGGAAGCCACGGCUAACUACGUGCCAGCAGCCGCGGUAAUACGUAGGUGGCAAGCGUUGUCCGGAAUUAUUGGGCGUAAAGAGCAUGUAGGCGGGAAUCUAAGUCUGUUGUGAAAAUGCGGGGCUCAACCCCGUAUUGCGAUGGAAACUGGGUUUCUUGAGUGCAGGAGAGGAAAGGGGAAUUCCAAGUGUAGCGGUAAAAUGCGUAGAUAUUGGGAGGAACACCAGUGGCGAAGGCGCCUUUCUGGACUGUGUCUGACGCUGAGAUGCGAAAGCCAGGGUAGCGAACGGGAUUAGAUACCCUUGUAGUCC